rnacentral:rRNA from 1 species
UAGCGUAUACUAAUGUUGUUGCAGUUAAAAAGCUCGUAGUUGGAUUUCUGGGAUUUUCAGCCGGCCGGCUCUUAGGAGUUGUAGCUAGGUUUGCAAGUCUCAUCUUCUCACAAUUCUCACUGGCCUUAACUGUUCGGUGCAGAGGACUGAGUCGCUCACUUUGAGAAAAUUAGAGUGUUCAAAGCAGGCUAUCGCCUUGAAUAUAUUAGCAUGGAAUAAUGAUAUAGGACUUUGGUUCUAUUUUGUUGGUUGUUCGAGGACCGAAGUAAUGAUUGAUAGGGACGGUUGGGGGCGUCAGUAUUCUGAAGCGAGAGGUGAAAUUCUUGGACCUUCGGAAGACUAACAACUGCGAAAGCAUUCGCCUAGGAUGUUCUCUUUAAUCAAGAACGAAAGUUGGGGGAUCGAAGACGAUCAGAUACCGUCGUAGUCUCAACUAUAAACUAUGCCAGCUAGGGAUUGGUGGAUGUUUAAUUACGACUCCAUCAGCACCUUAUGAGAAAUCAAAGCAUCUGGGUUCCGGGGGGAGUAUGGUCGCAAGGCUGAACCUUAAAGGAAUUGACGGGAGGGCACC